rnacentral:rRNA from 1 species
GAGGCCUAACACAUGCAAGUCGAGGGGUAUAGUUCUUCGGAACUAGAGACCGGCGCACGGGUGCGUAACGCGUAUGCAAUCUACCUUUCACAGAGGGAUAGCCCAGAGAAAUUUGGAUUAAUACCUCAUAGUAUAGUUUAAUCGCAUGGUUUAACUAUUAAAGUCACAACGGUGAAAGAUGAGCAUGCGUCCCAUUAGCUAGUUGGUAAGGUAACGGCUUACCAAGGCUACGAUGGGUAGGGGUCCUGAGAGGGAGAUCCCCCACACUGGUACUGAGACACGGACCAGACUCCUACGGGAGGCAGCAGUGAGGAAUAUUGGUCAAUGGACGCAAGUCUGAACCAGCCAUGCCGCGUGCAGGAUGACGGUCCUAUGGAUUGUAAACUGCUUUUGUACGAGAAGAAACACUAGUUCGUGAACUAGCUUGACGGUAUCGUAAGAAUAAGGAUCGGCUAACUCCGUGCCAGCAGCCGCGGUAAUACGGAGGAUCCAAGCGUUAUCCGGAAUCAUUGGGUUUAAAGGGUCCGUAGGCGGUUUAGUAAGUCAGUGGUGAAAGCCCAUCGCUCAACGGUGGAACGGCCAUUGAUACUGCUAAACUUGAAUUAUUAGGAAGUAACUAGAAUAUGUAGUGUAGCGGUGAAAUGCUUAGA